rnacentral:sRNA from 12 species
UUAGAUUGCAGGUAGAGAUACGCUGUAUACUCGUGUAGUCGAAUUAGCGUUUAAGCGAUAUGUAAUUUCGCCCCCCGCGAGGCCGCCUUUUAUGGGGGGUUUUUUUAUAG